UGAGUAACAGCACCACUCUGGACAGCACGCGCGGGUAAAGCAACGUUGCUUUUUCACUUGCCCACGACGUCACCCCAUACUUCCUCGCGGAUCCCGGAAAAGGAAACAGUGGGAGGGCCCACUGUAUCUUCGAUUGAGUCUCCUACAGCCCCCCUACCUGUGACCCUUCCCCGCUCCACCCUCCUCCCCCUGCAUCUCUGCAUCCUUGUCCGUUGCGAUGGUGCGCCGCAGCGAGGCGACGAAGGGCGACAAGAAGGGCCGCCGCAAGGGCAGCAAGCUCGCGCGCGGCCGCGGCAAUGAUGAGGAGAGACAGCGGGCCGGGAAACUAAUGCUGAACAACCCACUGAUUCCACCCGAGCUGGACGAGGACAUCGACGACGAACUCGCCUUCAACAGCGAGGAUGAGCGCUUGUACGGUGACUUUUUUACCGAGAAAGCGUCCACAAAGCCGAAGCUGUCCAAGAAGUCGUCGGCACGUCAGUCGUGCGGCUCUGCCGCACACGACGAUGACGACGACGACGCACUCCUGGAGGACGGCCUUGCUGUGGUAGGCAACUCUGAGAGAUGCAGGUCUCCAUGCAAGGGCGCAAGGAGGAAAGACAGCCGCCGCGCGGCGGCGGAGGCUGACGACGACGUCGAAACCGACGACAAAGACGGCCAAAGCAGCGGUGACGAUGAAGACUACAUUGACCUCAGCGACAUGCUCGACAUGAGCAUGAAAGCAGAUAAGAAAAAGAAGCUGGCAAAGGUGAAGAAGGCAUCACGAAUAACGGAGUCAGGAACUAAGGUAGUCAAGAAGCGUCGAGCCUCGCAGCUGACAGACGAGCCAGAGUCCGUGUUCGGGCUAGCGGACGCCUCGGCAAGCGGCGGGGCGACCUCGUACACGAGCGCGAUGCAGCGCAUCAUGCAACAGAGGGAGGCGUCCAUGGACCACGACAUGGAGGCGGUGAGGGACCGCAUCAAGCGGUCGCACCAGAGCAAGCACAACCUCGUUGCAGUGGACGCCGACGACGUGACGAAGGACCGUCUCACACGCAAGGAGGUGCGCGCCAUUGUGGAUGAGGCAAUGGAGCGCUACACGCCGAUAUUGAAGGAGCUGGACUCCGCGAAGCACAUCCGGUUUCCCAUGCAGCUCCCAGACAGCACCCCAGUUGCUUCGUCUGUCGGCGGCAUCGUCGCCGCGGCCGAUGCCCAGUUCCGUUCCGACCGAGCCGUCACGCCGGCCCUCUCCAACUCCCUCGCGUAUCGCUUUGGCAGCAAGAUGGAUGCGCUGCUGUCCAAGGCGGGCCUUUCGCGUCGCCAGGUCGGCGACGGGGCCGACACACCGAACUCCAUGGGCAACUACGUGAACUUCGACGAUGCCGUUGCCGAUGGGGCGCAGCGCCAGGGUAUGGAAGACGGAGAGGCCCCAACCUCCGGGUACGUGGCAAAGCUGAAGGCGAUGCUGGCGUACGAGAACAGCCGCCGCAAGCGUCUUAAUCGGAUCAAGAGUAAGACGUACCGGCGCAUUCUACGCAAGGAGAAGGAGCGUGAGAAGGAGCGCCGGCAGAAGGCGUUUGAGUUGCUGCACCCGGAGCUGGCUCGCCAGCGACUCGCGGAGCGCCUGCUCAAGGCGCGCAUAGAGGAGCGUGUCACGCAGAAGCACAAGAACACAAGCGCGUGGGUGAAGCACGCGAAGCGGUUUGCGCAGUUCGACGAGAGCACUAAGGACGCCAUCGACGAUCAGCACGCGACGCACCAGCGGCUCAUGCAGAAGAUGGAGCAGGACGCCGGUGAGGAAAACUACGAGCGAUACGUAGCUGGCGACAACGAGAGUGAGGCCUCCAGCGAGGAGGAGCGGACCGUAGACGCGCUCAUCGAAAAGGUCGGCGCGUCUGGCGGGGCACCUCUUAGCCGGCAAGACGUCAAGAGCAUCCUCUGGAGCAGCGUUGACGCAGUGGAGACCGACGAGAACGCUGUGGCAGGGACGAUGGCAAGCCCCAUAUCCAAGGCCCGCGCGGAGCUGCGCGAGAUGAAGUUCAUGAAGAACGCGCGCGAGCGUGAGGAGAAGGACUACGAGGAUCAGCUCGAGGCUCUGCGGCGCGAUAUUGAGGCGCACCACCGAGAGGAGCGCGCCGGCAGUGAGGCGCAGGGGAGAGAGGCGGAGGAGGAAACAGGUUCCACGAGGAAGACAUCGAGCAGCGCGGCACGGCCGUCUGCCGCAGCCGGCCGCAUUACGUUCAAAAAGGGCAAGAAAUCCGGUUCUGUGGAGCAGAUUCAGCUGCGGAGGCAGAGCGGCAUUUGCAUCGAGGCCAACGACCACGGCGCGGAGUCCUCCGGAGACGUGUCUGAAGACGUGGAACUCGUCUCUGUCGUCUCUGCUUCGUCUGUCGAGGACGGCGGAAAGCCGUCGCCAGUGGCAGCGAGGGACACCGACGGACGGCUAAAGGCACAAGGCCCGGGAAAGGAGAAGACAAAGAAGGCGACGCCGUCAGCUCCGCCAACAUCUGAGUUCGCUGGUGCCCGCAAGGACGCUCUACUGGAGCGCAGCUUGCUAGCGAAGAAGGUGACAUCGACCCGAGUCACCAUCCUGCCCAAGAAGCGCGCGCGUCCCGGUGAAGACGUGGCAGCGGAGGAGUCGGCGCCGUCGGCCAGCACACUGGUGGGCUCGGCGAGCGUCCCUGAGGAAGAUCUGCGACUGAACCAAGAGUAUCUCAUCUCGCGCGCCUUUGCCCAAGACGAUGUGGACGAGGACUUUGUGAAAGAAAAAGAGUCGCAAGUAGAGGCGAUCAUGCGUCCAGAGGACAAGAAUCAGAGCCUUCCUGGAUGGGGUGAGUGGGGCGGCGAGGACCCGGAGCUCAACAAGCGUCACCAGGAGGCUGUGCUGCAUCAGACGACGCAGCGGCAGAUCGAGAAAUCUUUUCUGCUGAAGAGCCGAGCCGAUGCCGCGCUGGAGCACGUCAUAAUCAACCACGACGGUGUCGAGCUGGUGCCGAAUCGCAUGACCCUUCACAUGGUGCCCCGCCCCUUCUCCAACCCGCAAGAGUUCGCCCGUUCCAUGCGCCAACCGCUGGGGCCCGAGUGGACGUCGGCACUCUCAUUCAAAGAGGGCGUGCAGCCACGGGUGGAGGUGCGUCAGGGACAGUCGCUUCUCCCUCUCGACCUCUCCCUCCGCAAGCCGAAGGCGAAGACAAAGCGCCGAAAGAUCGAGGCGAUCCCCGCCCGCGCCGCGUAGUCGCGUCCUCUGCUGCAGCUCUGCUCGCGCCGUUCACGUGCCCCUCGCCCUUCUUCCCCCGUCUUCAUACGGAAACAUACAGACAGACUCACACGCGCAUCAGCAUGCGCGCCCAUCGAGCAACAGAACUGAUGUGUGGGGCAGUGCACCGGAGGAGCGAGUCGCGGCGAAGCGGAGUUCGGAAAUCGAAACGGGGCGACAUCUUUGUAGCCCUUUUCAUCUCCUCCGCUGUUGUGCAUCCGCUGGACGAUUUGUGGUUAUGAUGUGACACGCCGCCUUGGCGACGCGAUUGUGCUCCCGCCGUUGUCUUCAUCGUCCUUCUGUCUUCUACCCCCUCCUGUGUGCGCGUGCGUGUUUUUCAUGUGUUCGGGUAUGUGCUAAUCGUGUAAGUGCAUAAACGCAGAAGCUGGCGUGUGCUUGUAACCGUUCACGCUCAUUCAUGAUGUUCCUGUUCCUGUUCCUUUUCUUUUCUUCUUCUUCAUAAUGGCGAGCUGGACGCCGAGUAAGACAUCGCACAAGCACACUUGCAGACACACCCACACUUCAACAUGCAACAUUCAGCGUCGUCUCUUCGCUGCUCUGUCGCUUGCUUGUCCUGUUCGUACAGGGAGAGACUUGUGCUGGCGACUGCAUGUGCG
rnacentral:misc_RNA from 1 species